GCCAGCGGCGAUAGCACGUUAAAUACACCUGUUUCCAAUGAAUCACUAAAGUUAAGCUAAGUUCCUCGUGGUUAGUAUGCGGAUGGGUGACCAUCUGGGCAAAUCGCGUGCUGCUGGCU
rfam:Asian citrus Psyllid, Diaphorina citri - Florida Strain, whole genome shotgun sequence.